UUCAAACACUGUCUCAAAAUCUUCUCCAGAGGUUUGGGCGACUACUGUUGACUCAAAUGCUACAUUAGCAUGCAUAAGAUCAUUUAAGAUCUACUCUCUCAUCAGCCCAUGAAUCAAAGCAUUUGAUUAGCAGAAGUACUGGGAUCCUACAGAAAAAACUGAGGCUUCACGAAGUGAGGAACAUGUCAAGUCAUACAGGUCUUUUGAACUUGUUAGUGGAACUUUCAGCUUAUCCUCUGAGAUACCUCAGCAAAUCUUCCAAGGUCUAGGUUUUUCUCCACCAUGUAAGUCUUGAAGCAAAUUUUGUCAACUUUCUAUUACCGGCUAAA